UUUAAGCUGUUUUUGGUCAUUCCAGGGUGCCCCUGGCCCGGCAGGACAGCGCCUCGUGGCGGCAGCGGCUGGCGCGGGCGGGGCUCGUUUUGGGGCGUUUUUUGGCCAAUUUUUUUGGGUUUUUUUUGGGGAUUUUUUGGGGAUUUUUUGGCCGAUUUUUUGGGGGUUUUUUGGAGGAUUUCGGGGUUGAUUUUUGGGUUAAUUUCCGGUGUUUUUGGUCAUUCCAGGGUGCCCCUGGCCCGGCAGGACAGCGCCUCCCGGGGCUCGUUUUGGGGCAUUUCUGGGCGGAUUUUUUGGGGUUUUUUGGGGAUUUUUUUGGGGCAUUUUUCAGCGGAUUUUUUCAGGGUUUUUUGGAGGAUUUCAGGGCCGAUUUUUGGGUUAAUUUCCGGUGUUUUUGGUCCAUUCCAGGGUGCCCCUGGCCCGGCAGGACAGCGCCUCCCGGGGCUCGUUUUGGGGCGUUUUUUGGGGUGUUUCUCGGCAGAUUUUUGGGGAUUUUUUGGCCGAUUUUUUGGGGGUUUUUUGGAGGAUUUCGGGGCUGAUUUUUGGGUUAAUUUCCGCUGUUUUUGGUCGUUCCAGGGUGCCCCUGGCCCGGCAGGACAGCGCCUCCCGGGGCUCGUUUUGGGGCAUUUUUUGGCCAAUUUUUUGGGGUUUUUUGGGGUUUUUUUGGGGUUUUUCUCAGCGGAUUUUUUCGGGGUUUUUUGGAGGUUUUCGGGGCUGAUUUUUGGGUUAAUUUCAGGGGUUUUUGGUCCAUUUCAGGGUGCCCCUGGCCCGCCAGGACAGCGCCUCGUGGCGGCAGCGGCUGGCGCGGGCGGGGCUCGUUUUGGGGCAUUUUCUGGGGCAUUUUUUGGGGCAUUUUUUUGUCGAUUUUUUCGGGGUUUUUUGGAGGAUUUCGGGGCUGAUUUUUGGGUUAAUUUCCGGUGUUUUUGGUCAUUCCAGGGUGCCCCUGGCCCGCCAGGACAGCGCCUCGUGGCGGCAGCGGCUGGCGCGCGCGGGGCUCGUUUUGGGGCAUUUUUUGGGGAUUUUUUGGCCGAUUUUUUCGGGGUUUUUUGGAGGAUUUCGGGGCUGAUUUUUGGGUUAAUUUCCGGUGUUUUUGGUCAUUCCAGGGUACCAUUAGCCCGCCAGGACAGCGCCUCGUGGUGGCAGCGGCUGGCACGGGCGGGGCUCGUUUUGGGGCAUUUUUUGGCCGAUUUUUUUUGGGUUUUUUUUGGGAUUUUUUGGAGGAUUUCGGGGCUGAUUUUUGGGUUAAUUUCCGGUGUUUUUGGUCGUUCCAGGGUGCCCCUGGCCCGCCAGGACAGCGCCUCGUGGCGGCAGCGGCUGGCGCGGGCGGGGCUCGUUUUGGGGCAUUUUUUGGCCAAUUUUUUCGGGGGUUUUUUUGGGAUUUUUCGGAGGAUUUCGGAGCCGAUUUUUGGGUUAAUUUCCGGUGUUUUUGGUCCAUUCCAGGGUGCCCCUGGCCCGGCAGGACAGCGCCUCCCGGGGCUCGUUUUGGGGCGUGUCUCAGCGGAUUUUUUGGGGUUUUUUGGGGAUUUUUUGGCGGAUUUUUUGGCCGAUUUUUUCGGGGUUUUUUGGAGGAUUUCGGGGCUGAUUUUUGGGUUAAUUUCCGGUGUUUUUGGUCAUUCCAGGGUACCCUUAGCCCGCCAGGACAGCGCCUCGUGGCGGCAGCGGCUGGCGCGGGCGGGGCUCGUUUUGGGGCAUUUUUUAGGGAUUUUUUGGCGGAUUUUUUCGGGGUUUUUUGGAGGAUUUCGGGGCUGA
ensembl:lncRNA